rnacentral:rRNA from 1 species
GUGCCAGCCGCCGCGGUAAUACGUAGGGCGCAAGCGUUAUCCGGAUUCACUGGGUUUAAAGGGUGCGUAGGCGGGCAGUUAAGUCCGUGGUGAAAUCUCUGAGCUUAACUCAGAAACUGCCAUGGAUACUAUCUGUCUUGAAUAUUGUGGAGGUGAGCGGAAUAUGUCAUGUAGCGGUGAAAUGCUUAGAUAUGACAUAGAACACCAAUUGCGAAGGCAGCUUGCUACACAGUUAUUGACGCUGAGGCACGAAAGCGUGGGGAUCAAACAGUAUUAGAUACCCCUGUAGUCC